UACGGAGGGUGCAAGCGUUAUCCGGAUUCACUGGGUUUAAAGGGUGCGUAGGUGGGUCUGUAAGUCAGUGGUGAAAUCUCCGUGCUUAACAUGGAAGCUGCCAUUGAUACUAUAGGUCUUGAAUUUUCUGGAGGUCAGCGGAAUAUGUCAUGUAGCGGUGAAAUGCUUAGAUAUGACAUAGAACACCAAUUGCGAAGGCAGCUGGCUACAGGGAUAUUGACACUGAGGCACGAAAGCGUGGGGAUCAAACAGG
rnacentral:rRNA from 1 species